GCCAUGCAUGUCUAAGUAUAAGCAUUCAUACUGUGAAACUGCGAAUGGCUCAUUAAAUCAGUUAUCGUUUAUUUGAUAGUACCUUACUACUUGGAUACCCGUGGUAAUUCUAGAGCUAAUACAUGCUAAAAACCCCGACUUCGGAAGGGGUGUGUUUAUUAGAUAAAAAACCAAUGCCCUUCGGGGCUGCUUGGUGAUUCAUGAUAACCAAACGAAUCGCAUGGCCUUGAGCCGGCGAUGGUUCAUUCAAAUUUCUGCCCUAUCAACUUUCGAUGGUAGGAUCUGGGCCUACCAUGGUAUCAACGGGUAACGGGGAAUUAGGGUUCGAUUCCGGAGAGGGAGCCUGAGAAACGGCUACCACAUCCAAGGAAGGCAGCAGGCGCGCAAAUUACCCAAUCCCGACUCGGGGAGGUAGUGACAAUAAAUACUGAUACAGGGCUCUUUUGGGUCUUGUAAUUGGAAUGAGUACAAUUCAAAUCCCUUAACGAGGAACAAUUGGAGGGCAAGUCUGGUGCCAGCAGCCGCGGUAAUUCCAGCUCCAAUAGCGUAUAUUAAAGUUGUUGCAGUUAAAAAGCUCGUAGUUGAACCUUGGGCCAGGCUGGCCGGUCCGCCUAACCGCGUGCACUGGUCCGGCCGGGCCCUUUCCUCUGGGGAGCCUCAUGCCCUUCACUGGGCGUGUUGGGGAACCAGGACUUUUACUUUGAAAAAAUUAGAGUGUUCAAAGCAGGCCUUUGCUCGGAUACAUUAGCAUGGAAUAAUAGAAUAGGACGUGCGGUCCUAUUUUGUUGGUUUCUAGAACCGCCGUAAUGAUUAAUAGGGACAGUCGGGGGCAUCAGUAUUCAGACGCGAGAGGUGAAAUUCUUAGACCGUCUGAAGACUAACUACUGCGAAAGCAUUUGCCAAGGAUGUUUUCAUUAAUCAGUGAACGAAAGUUGGGGGAUCGAAGACGAUCAGAUACCGUCGUAGUCUCAACCGUAAACUAUGCCGACUAGGGAUCGGGCGACGUUCCAAUUAUGACUCGCCCGGCACCUUACGAGAAAUCAAAGUUUUUGGGUUCUG
rnacentral:rRNA from 1 species